rnacentral:lncRNA from 1 species
GGCAAAAGGCAACACAUCCAACUUGAGCUCUUUACUAGGCAUGUUCUUCUCCCUUAUCAUCCCCGCAGCCUCUGCCAACGUUAGGAUUUCGGGCGCCGGGGGCUGAAGGCGUGGGGCAGCUGGUAGAGGGUUACAGGCAUGGCCGAGGUGAAGUGGCAACGGCGAGUUGCCUGAUGGCUCCUGGGAUUGGUCGGAUGAUUGUUUCUUGAUCAUCUUCAUCUCCUGCUCCCGAAUUGGGGCCUCAGCAGCAACAGCUGUAGAAGGAGAUAGAAACCUCUGCUCCACACGCUUGUGCUUCUUCUUCUUCCCUCGCUCCUCCUCAAAGGUAGGAUUUGGGGCAAAAGGAAGCGCCUCCACCUUGUGCUCUUUACUAGGCCUGUUCAUCUCCCUUAUCAUCGCCGCCGCCUCUGUCAACGUUAGGAUUUCGGGCGCCGGGGGCUGAAGGAGUGGGGCAGCUGGUAGAGGGUUACAGGCAUGGCCGAGGUGAAGUGGCAAUGGCGAGUUGCCUGAUGGCUCCUGGGAUUGGUCGGAUGGUUGUUUCUUGAUAAUCUUCAUCUCCUGCUCCCGAAUUGGGGCCUCAGCAGCAACAGAUGUAGAAGGAGAUAGAAACCUCUGCUCCACACGCUUGUGCUCCUUCUUCUUCUUCUUCCCUCGCUCCUCCUCAAAG